CACUUCCUUAUUAAAAGGAAGCAUCAUUCUAGACUUAAAAUGGGAGAAUUAAAACAGAAGGAUGGGGUAUAAAGAAUCUGUAAAGACAUGAGAAAAACCACUGAAAGCAAGAAUAGGUGUGUUUCAUGUUUAAUAAUGCAAGAAAAAGGUAUCAGAGCACAUGACCAAUGUGACAUGCAUAUGAGAAUGCAUGGUUCUAGUGAUACACUCUACUGUGUAAAUAUCAAUUUUCACUUUAUUCUGCAAUUUUGAUCUUCUGAGGAUUAUUUUCAGGAAAUACAGCUACACAU
rnacentral:lncRNA from 1 species